CGCACAUUGCGCCCCUUGGUAUUCCAUGGGGCAUGCCUGUUCGAGCGUCAUUUGAACCCUCAAGCUUUGCUUGGUGUUGGGUGUUUGUCUUGCCUUUGCGUAUGGACUCGCCUUAAAGUAAUUGGCAGCCUGGUAAUUCGGCUUUGAGCGCAGCACAUUGCGUACUCUCGGCUGGUGCUUUGGCAUCCAAAAGACCUUUUUUUACUCUUGACCUCGGAUCAGGUAGGGAUACCCGCUGAACUUAA
rnacentral:misc_RNA from 1 species